ensembl:lncRNA
GUCUGUGUGUGUCUUUUACAGAGUUUUAAACCUUGGGAUCCACAAAAAAGCAAGAGUAAAAGACGAACACUUUUUAAACAUAAUGUUGUUAACAAACUACAUUAAUCAAAAAUGGACAUAGCAAGCAUCACCAGACAGCUUCAGUCAAAAUUGGAUGUAGAAGAUAGAGUUAAGGCUCUGCAAGGACAUCCGAUUUCUAAGUUAGCAAUGUUUGGAAUGGUGUAUUUUAGUGCAUUGAUUUAUUUUAAACAAAGAACAAUAUACUUCUACCGCUUCUCCCGACCUGCGUUAUAGUCAGAGCGGGAGCAGCGGUUUCGCUCAUGCGCAAUUCUUUUGCAGUUUGGACCCGUAGGUGUAAAAAGCUCCUGCUCUGACAGCAGCUGGGGGCAACUGCUGCAUUAGGACGGCCGCCUGUGAGUGCUUUGGCACGGGCGAGGUGCCCACGGCAGCUCCCGCUGCUUGUAAGAGCGAUACGUGCUUCCACGUCAAAAACUCGUAAUAACACCAGAAAAAAGUCACCAGAUUUGUCGCUAGUUGCUUUUUAGAAAAAAAAAAAAAAGUCAAUUAAGGCGUCUGAAAACUCGCUAGAUAUAGCGACAAAAUCACUGCCGUUAAGUCCUCCGUUAUUUAUUUAGCUAAACAAGUCAAUUAACACUGGCUUACAGCACCAUAGAAAUAUAUACAAAAAUACAAGCCUCCGUUAUUUAUUUAGCUAAUAUGCUAGUAGCCAAUGUGCUUUAAGCUAACUCGGCUUCCCACAAUCUUACAUUUCUGAAUAAAAACACUAAGAAGUUACCUUUAAUACCUCCGACCAGUAUAAUUUCAUUCCAC